UUUUAGUCUGUUCGACUAUUAAAAUUUUACAUGAUCUGAGUUUAAACCGGUGUAAGCCAGGUUGGUUUCUAUCUUUAUUUAUUUAUAAUAUUUUAGUACGAAAGGACCAAAUAUUAAAUAUAAAGUAUUUUGAUUUAUUGAAUGAAAUU
rnacentral:rRNA from 1 species